rnacentral:rRNA from 1 species
UACGUAGGGCGCAAGCGUUAUCCGGAAUUAUUGGGCGUAAAGAGCGUGUAGGCGGCCAGGUAGGUCUGCUGUGAAAACUCGAGGCUCAACCUCGAGACGUCGGCGGAAACCAUCUGGCUAGAGUCCGGAAGAGGAGAGUGGAAUUCCUGGUGUAGCGGUGAAAUGCGCAGAUAUCAGGAAGAACACCCGUGGCGAAGGCGGCUCUCUGGGACGGUACUGACGCUGAGACGCGAAAGCGUGGGGAGCGAACAGG